rnacentral:rRNA from 1 species
GACGAACGCUGGCGGCGUGCUUAACACAUGCAAGUCGAACGGAAAGGCCCUGCUUUUGUGGGGUGCUCGAGUGGCGAACGGGUGAGUAACACGUGAGUAACCUGCCCUUUACUUUGGGAUAACUUCAGGAAACUGGGGCUAAUACCGGAUAGGAGCUCCUGCUGCAUGGUGGGGGUUGGAAAGUUUCGGCGGUUGGGGAUGGACUCGCGGCUUAUCAGCUUGUUGGUGGGGUAGUGGCUUACCAAGGCUUUGACGGGUAGCCGGCCUGAGAGGGUGACCGGCCACAUUGGGACUGAGGUACGGCCCAGACUCGUACGGGAGGCAGCAGUGGGGAAUAUUGCACAAUGGGCGGAAGCGUGAUGCAGCAACGCCGCGUGCGGGAUGACGGCCUUCGGGUUGUAAACCGCUUUCGCCUGUGACGAAGCGUGAGUGACGGUAAUGGGUAAAGAAGCACCGGCUAACUACGUG